CUUGUGAAAAAACUUUUUCAUCAGAAGUCCAUUUAUGUCAGGCCUGAUAAAGUCAUUUUAAGUGAGGACAAAGAAACUCUACUUUCUGAUCAUGACAGAAGCCAUACAAACAGCUGUGCAGACAUUCCGAACACUGACAAAUGUGGGAUUGAAGGUGCACUGGACAUUUCCAAAGAUCUUGUCUCAACCAUUUCCACUGCUGAGGUCCAGCCUCUCUCCAAUAUUACCUCCCUUGCUGAUGUUGAUGCAGUCAUCUGGUGUGUUGCAUCUUCCAACUCUAGUGACAAUCUUGCUAUGUCCACUAGUGCUACUGUUGUCGCUAUCGAUGACAGUGUAUUGUUGUCCAGUGUUCAAUC
ensembl:lncRNA